rnacentral:rRNA from 1 species
AUUUAAUGGAGAGUUUGAUCCUGGCUCAGGACGAACGCUGGCGGCGUGCUUAACACAUGCAAGUCGAACGGAGAUUAGCG